AUAGCCUGUUGCUGUGCCUGAUUGUAGUUAUGCUGCUGAAUACAGGAGCCAGUGAUUUAUCCUGUCCAGUUGGGGUGGAGAUGACCUGAACAUCCAGAGAUGCAGGGAAGUGAGCUUGAACGAGGAGCAAACCUUCAGUGAGGCACACACAUUGGCAGGCGAGAAGGAACUGAACAGAUGGCACUCUGCUGCCCAAAAUACCAAGCGUGCCUUGCGUGUGAAGGGCAGAGCUACAGAGUGCUUUGUACAGAAGUGUAAAAUCCUUCUGCAAAGGCUACUGCACAGGUGCAGAACCCAUGAUGUGAAGAAUCCUCUAUCACCUCAAAGAUUAGUGCCAAGUUUUUUGUGCAGUUGAGGAAUGCAUCCAGCUCCUGGUCGUUGCAGCAAAGCCCCUUAUAAUGGCUGGACUAAGACUUGAGGGAAUGUGUUGAACUAAGGACAGAGAACAGAGCAGUGCUGGUAGUGCUGGUACUUUGUGCAGUGGAAUGGAAGCACUGUGAUUAGAAGGUAGCUGAGACACAGAUGAACCAAUUGCAGCCUGCUUUGAACAGCUGCAAGUCAGAGAAGGCACUGAAGCAUUGUGCAGCUAGAGAUGUUAGUCACAUAACUGUUCUCAGUGUUUUACACAUAUGGCACAUCAGCGAAUCAAAGAUAAACAAGUUUGGGAUGGGACAUAACAAUAGAGAAAAACAUGAAAAUAAUGUUCCAAGCCUCCAAUGCAAUAUGA